CAGUCGCCGCGGGAAUACGGAGGGUGCAAGCGUUAAUCGGAAUUACUGGGCGUAAAGCGUGCGUAGGCGGUUCGUUAAGUCUGUUGUGAAAGCCCCGGGCUCAACCUGGGAAUGGCAAUGGAUACUGGCGAGCUAGAGUGUGUCAGAGGAUGGUGGAAUUCCCGGUGUAGCGGUGAAAUGCGUAGAGAUCGGGAGGAACAUCAGUGGCGAAGGCGGCUUACUGGCUCAUUCUAGACGCUGAGGUGCGAAAGCGUGGGGAGCAAACAGGAUUAGAUACCCGCGUAGUCCCUGUCUCUUAUAC
rnacentral:rRNA from 1 species